rnacentral:rRNA from 1 species
GGGACACGUGGUAUCCUGUCUGAAUAUGGGGGGACCAUCCUCCAAGGCUAAAUACUCCUGACUGACCGAUAGUGAACCAGUACCGUGAGGGAAAGGCGAAAAGAACCCCGGCGAGGGGAGUGAAAAAGAACCUGAAACCGUGUACGUACAAGCAGUGGGAGCACGCUUAGGCGUGUGACUGCGUACCUUUUGUAUAAUGGGUCAGCGACUUAUAUUCUGUAGCAAGGUUAACCGAAUAGGGGAGCCGAAGGGAAACCGAGUCUUAACUGGGCGUUAAGUUGCAGGGUAUAGACCCGAAACCCGGUGAUCUAGCCAUGGGCAGGUUGAAGGUUGGGUAACACUAACUGGAGGACCGAACCGACUAAUGUUGAAAAAUUAGCGGAUGACUUGUGGCUGGGGGUGAAAGGCCAAUCAAA